AUAAUCAGAGAGUGAUGUAAAAGGAAGGCAAAGAAGGGAAGAACGAGCUUCGUUGUGUUGUUUCACUAGUUUUUUUGCUUUUUCUUCCCAAUUUUGUUUUACUUUUAUUUCUCCUUGGUUAUUUUCUUCAAGAAAAUCAAGAAAUUCACCCCUGGGGUGUCGCAAGAGGAAAUGUCUGGAAUAGGGUCGAAGAGC
rnacentral:RNase_P_RNA from 13 species